GACGAACGCUGGCGGCGUGCCUAAUACAUGCAAGUCGAGCGGACAGAAGGGAGCUUGCUCCCGGAUGUUAGCGGCGGACGGGUGAGUAACACGUGGGCAACCUGCCUGUAAGACUGGGAUAACACCGGGAAACCGGUGCUAAUACCGGAUAAUUCUUUCCCUCACAUGAGGGAAAGCUGAAAGUUGGUUUCGGCUGACACUUACAGAUGGGCCCGCGGCGCAUUAGCUAGUUGGUGAGGUAACGGCUCACCAAGGCGACGAUGCGUAGCCGACCUGAGAGGGUGAUCGGCCACACUGGGACUGAGACACGGCCCAGACUCCUACGGGAGGCAGCAGUAGGGAAUCUUCCGCAAUGGACGAAAGUCUGACGGAGCAACGCCGCGUGAGUGAUGAAGGCCUUCGGGUCGUAAAACUCCGUUGUUAGGGAAGAACAAGUACCGGAGUAACUGCCGGUACCUUGACGGUACCUAACCAGAAAGCCACGGCUAACUACGUGCCAGCCGCCGCCGUAA
rnacentral:rRNA from 1 species